UACAGAGGGUGCAAGCGUUGUUCGGAAUUAUUGGGCGUAAAGCGCGUGUAGGCGGCCUUGCAAGUUGGGUGUGAAAGCCCUCGGCUUAACCGAGGAAGUGCGCCCAAAACUACAAGGCUUGAGUAUCGGAGAGGAUGGUGGAAUUCCCGGUGUAGAGGUGAAAUUCGUAGAUAUCGGGAGGAACACCAGUGGCGAAGGCGACCAUCUGGCCGAAUACUGACGCUGAGACGCGAAAGCGUGGGGAGCAAACAGG
rnacentral:rRNA from 1 species